rnacentral:rRNA from 1 species
CAGCAGCCCGGUAAUACGUAGGGUGCAAGCGUUAAUCGGAAUUACUGGGCGUAAAGCGUGCGCAGGCGGUUAUAUAAGACAGAUGUGAAAUCCCCGGGCUCAACCUGGGAACUGCAUUUGUGACUGUAUAGCUAGAGUACGGCAGAGGGGGAUGGAAUUCCGCGUGUAGCAGUGAAAUGCGUAGAUAUGCGGAGGAACACCGAUGGCGAAGGCAAUCCCCUGGGCCUGUACUGACGCUCAUGCACGAAAGCGUGGGGAGCAAACAGGAUUAGAUACCCGCGUAGUCCCUGUCUCUUAUACA